ncrna:unclassified sequences DTF3268 RNA
UGGCAGGGCUUGCGUUCAGGCUCUCGGAACGUUUAAGGAUAACGUCAGACCUGAUUCAAGGGAAUCAGGGAUCCGUUACGGAUCUUGCGCAAUGAGCAGAUCCACAACAACGCAGGUC